UCGGGUUGUAAACCCCUUUCAGCAGGGACGAUUGUGACGGUACCUGCAGAAGAAGGACCGGCCAACUACGUGCCAGCAGCCGCGGUAAUACGUAGGGUCCGAGCGUUGUCCGGAUUCAUUGGGCGUAAAGAGCUCGUAGGCGGUUUGUCGCGUCUGCUGUGAAAUCCCGAGGCUCAACCUCGGGCCUGCAGUGGGUACGGGCAGACUAGAGUGCGGUAGGGGAGAUUGGAAUUCCUGGUGUAGCGGUGGAAUGCGCAGAUAUCAGGAGGAACACCGAUGGCGAAGGCAGAUCUCUGGGCCGUAACUGACGCUGAGGAGCGAAAGGGUGGGGAGCAAACAGGCUUAGAUACCCUGGUAGUCCACCCCGUAAACGUUGGGAACUAGUUGUGGGGUCCUUUCCACGGAUUCCGUGACGCAGCUAACGCAUUAAGUUCCCCGCCUGGGGAGUACGGCCGCAAGGCUAAAACUCAAAGGAAUUGACGGGGACCCGCACAAGCGGCGGAGCAUGCGGAUUAAUUCGAUGCAACGCGAAGAACCUUACCAAGGCUUGACAUACACGAGAACACCCUAGAAAUAGGGGACUCUUUGGACACUCGUGAACAGGUGGUGCAUGGUUGUCGUCAGCUCGUGUCGUGAGAUGUUGGGUUAAGUCCCGCAACGAGCGCAACCCUCGUUCUAUGUUGCCAGCACGUAAUGGUGG
rnacentral:rRNA from 1 species